AACGAACGCUGGCGGCAGGCUUAACACAUGCAAGUCGAACGCAUCGCAAGAUGAGUGGCAGACGGGUGAGUAACGCGUGGGAGCAUACCCUUUUCUACGGAAUAGCUCUGGGAAACUGGAAUUAAUACCGUAUACGCCCUACGGGGGAAAGAUUUAUCGGGGAAGGAUUGACCCGCGCUGGAUUAGCUAGUUGGUGGGGUAAAGGCCUACCAAGGCGACGAUCCAUAGCUGGUCUGAGAGGAUGAUCAGCCACAUUGGGACUGAGACACGGCCCAAACUCCUACGGGAGGCAGCAGUGGGGAAUAUUGGACAAUGGGCGCAAGCCUGAUCCAGCCAUGCCGCGUGAGUGAUGAAGGCCUUAGGGUUGUAAAGCUCUUUCACCGAUGAAGAUAAUGACGAUAGUCGGAGAAGAAGCCCCGGCUAACUUCGUGCCAGCAGCCGCCGUAA
rnacentral:rRNA from 1 species